UGUAAUUUCUGGUUAAUUUUAUCCAUAAAUCUUAUUAGAAUAUUCAUGUGAAGCUUGUCUUCAUUGUUUGACCUGUACUAUGUUUCUUCUUAUUUUGCAGACUAGCAGACUGUAGUCUCACCAUAGUACACUGUGAAACUCUCUGCUCUGCUCUGAAAUCAGAAAACUCCUUCCUGAUAGAGCUGGACCUCAAAAAAAAAAACCUGCAGGAUUCAGGAGUGGAGCUGCUCUCAGCUGGACUGAAAGGUUCGCACUGUAAACUGCAGACACUCAGACUGCCAUUCUGUCAUCUUGGUGAAAAGACGUGUGAAACUUUGGGAUCAGUUGAAAAACUCCUCCCUGAAAGAUCUGGACCUCAGUAACAAUGAUCUGCAGGACUUAGGAGUGGAGCUGCUCUCUGCUGGACUAAAGAGUUCACACUGUAAACUGCAGACACUUGGAUUAAUAUAUGGUUGUAUGAUCACAGAAGAAGGCUGUGUUUCUCUGGCUACUGCACUGAAUUCAAACCCCUCCCACCGGAAAGAACUGGAUCUGACCUACAACCAUCCAGGAGAUUCAGGAGUAAAGCUGCUCUCUGCUAGACUGCAGGAUCCACACUGCACACUCAACACACUCAGGGUGGAACAUGGAGGGAAAAUCAGAAUCAAACCAAAGAAAUCAAAGAAAUGUAAGUACACA